AAUACCAAAUCAUAGAUACAGCAUGAUCCUGAUUUUUUGUUUUUACUAACAGUAAACGUUCAUAUAAAAAGACUAGAAGGAAAUUAACCAAUUGUUAACAGUGUCUGACUCUAGGUGGUGGGAUUAUAGUGGAUUAUAAUAAUAAAAGCUAACACUUGUAUAGCGCUUUUCUCAGCACUUUACAUAUAUUUAUAUACACUUACUCCUUAUAUCUAUCCUACAGGAGAAAUACCAUAUUAUCCCCAUUUUGCAGAUGAGGAGACAGAAGUGGAGAGAGGUGAAGUGACUUGCUCAACAUCACACAGUUGCCUUCCCACGUGUGUGAGACCAUUGCUGUGGAAAGAAGCCGGGCCUGACUUCAGGGAUCUGGUGUGAAAUGACUGGACCCAUGCGUUCUGAGUAAACAAGAGAGCCCCUUCUGGCUUCUCCGGGAGGAACCAAAUGGCUUCAGCAUUCAGCUCCAAAGCCCGAUGGAGACCAAGAGUGAUACACUGUACUCAUGAUCAACUGCUCAGUUCUGGUUUGGGCCUCUGAGGGCUGAUGGGGUUUGGCAGAACCUCCAGCACAAUGUUGAAUGGAAAUGGUGAUAGUGGGCAUCUUGUCUUGUACCCAGUCUCACUAUGUGGAAGCUUCACUAUUUCACAAUGAAGGCCCAGCACGGUGACUCAAACCUGUAAUCCCAGCACUUUGGAGGGCUGAGGCAAGUGGAUCACCUGAGAUCAGGAGUUCAAGACCAG
rnacentral:lncRNA from 1 species